rnacentral:lncRNA from 1 species
ACGAAAUGCAUUUUCUUUGCAAAAAUGGGGCUGAAACAAGGGAUGAAUUAACGGGGCCAAAACGGGGGCCGAAUCUCACAACCUUCUUUUGAUUUUCAAUGGUAAUAAGUAAUGUGCCUUAAACAAUUGUUUAAAGGGAGAACCUGGGCGGAAGGUGAAGGAUAAUCAGGGUAUGAAAUCCUCUUUCGCUAAACAGUUGGUAGUCUGCCAUCCCAAAAUUUUCUGUGUCUUCACUUCCAAACCAACAAAAGCUAUCAAUCUCUUCUCACCCUUAUUGUUUUCUUCAAGUGGCUUAUUAAAUUCUCUCAAUUUUCGCUUUUUCACAUCUGAAAACGGUUUACCUAAUUACCCUUCACACAAAUCGAAUUCAAGCAAAGAUGUCUCAACUAAUGGAUACGACGUCGGCGAUAAAGGUACAUCUACUCUUUCUCUAUGUGUUCUUUUUUGUUGUUUGUUUGUAAUCUGUGAAUUGAGUGUACCUAAUGUUUAAUUGCAAAUUAAAUGUUGAAAAGGGGACCAAAAAAGGUGGAAUAACAAAAAUAAAUGAUUUUUAGAUAUUUGUAGUUGUUCAUAUGACUUUUUGUGUUCUGAUUAUUUCCUUUUUAUUCAUAUGUAUUUCAUUGUUCAUUAUCAUGUUAAAUUUUAUCUCAGUUUUUCCAGCUUGGUUUAAAUUCAAUACUCGAUAAUUCUUGCAGUAUUUUAACAGACACAUGAAAAUUCCUGCUAGUAGGCUAAAAAGGCAACUCAUUGGUCUUGAUUAUGUUAUAUAAUAAUGGUACUCUUUGGUGGCCUUUCAGCAUGUUACAAAGUUACACCUAGAUGUUGAUAUUCAAAAUCUGAUAGCUCCCCAGCAACUCAAGUAUGUGAGAGUUUUUAAAAGCUGGUAUUUAUCAUGUUUAAAAUGUUGAUGGGGUUGUCCUGCGAAGGCUGUCUGACUUCUACUUUAGUUGAGUUGUUUGAAUAUUAUGGAUAAAAAGAAAUUUAUGUAUGAUAUGAAAUAAAUAACGUGUAAGUUGUGCAUAUGUUCAGGGCUCCUAGUUAUACGUCUUCUCACGUGUCCUUUAUAAACUUGUACAUUAUUGUUCAUAAAUGAAUUUGUUAGGGUUCCCCUGAAACUCUCUCAUUUAACUCAUGAGUUAUCACAUUCUGUUACCUCAUAGGUGACACACACAGAUAGGAAUUAGAUGAAUUUCAAUUUCCCAAGUAGGGUAAGAAGGAAAUUUUUAUCAAUGGAAAGUAAUCAUACAAUGAUGAGGAUGUUAUUGUCGUUGUUGUUGUUGUUGUUAUUAUUAUUAUCAUCAUUUAUUUUUUAUUUUUUGGUAUUUAAUUCAUAAGUUACCAUGUGGUGCAAAAUAUUAAGAACAUAACACUACUAGUGAAGUUAUCGAUCGUGUAUAGAAAUUUUCCUUAUAAAACUCGUGAAAAUGAUUCUCAAUAGGCAGAGUUUUGCUUUAAACAAUGUCUUGCAUUGUUGCAAAGAUAUGAAAGGCAAAGAUUCUUUUUAUUUUUAUUUAAUUCAAUGGGCAGAAAUUUUCUAAAAGUUACACCACUAACAAUUACUUUUACAUGAGAAAAUUGAAUUUUUUUUUCAAGUGCUGUGCAGAUGAGAUUACCUAUUACUAUAUGUUGAUGGCACUAACAUAUCCAUCCUCUUCCAAUUCAGAUUACUAUUCUACCUUUUACUCAUCUAAAGAACAUGUUUGAAAAGGCGAUGAUGUAAUUGAUAUUGGAUUAUGCGUUGGUUUCAAAAACUCACAGUAUGAUAAUGGAGUUGUUAACAUAUGGUUUUUGACUAUGGAGUUUAUCUGUUAAGGCAUAGUCUAUUCUUUUGCCAAUAUCUUGUGGCCUACAAUAUCAAGAGGGUGUUUGGUGGGGAAUUAAAUUAGAUUUUUUAGUAGAUUGUGAUAGAAGCUUUUGAAAUGUGUGGUUGAAUAGUUGUGGAAUCUAUGAAAGAUGUGGUUAAUAUUGAUUAUUUGACUUUGACUUAAAUUAAAAUUAGAUUUUAAUCCGUACCAAACAAGGUGCAAGAAUCAGGUUUUCAUAUUCUUGAAAUUACUAAAAAUGCAACAAAGGUCUGGAUCACAACUGAACUUCCAAAGUAAGAAGUUUCAAGAUUGAAAUUUGAAAGAGCUUUCCAAUAGUUUGGUUAUAUUUUUGAAAAUGUAUGUGUGUGUGUAUAUAUAUAUGUAUAUAUGUAUAUGCGCGCACACGCACACACACAUAUAAAUGUAUAUGUACGUACAUAUAGGGAAAUGAUCUAAUGGGCACUGGUGCUUAGUUUAUGUUAAGUACUGGUGAAAUAGUACGAAAUUAAUUGGUGAAUCAUUAAAUUCAUGGGACAUACCAUUAACAUAUUCACCAAUCAAUUGGUGUGUCAUGUCAUCAGUGCUUAAUAUAAGUUAAGCACCAUUGCC